UGGGGAAUAUUGGACAAUGGGGGCAACCCUGAUCCAGCGAUGCCGCGUGUGUGAAGAAGGCCUGCGGGUUGUAAAGCACUUUCGGUGGUGAGGAUUGCGGAGAAGGUUAAUAGCUUUUUUCGUUGACGUUAGCCACAUAAGAAGCACCGGCAAACUCUGUGCCAGCAGCCGCGGUAAUACAGAGGGUGCAAGCGUUAAUCGGAAUUACUGGGCGUAAAGGGCGCGUAGGUGGAUUAAUAAGUCAGAUGUGAAAGCCCCGGGCUUAACCUGGGAAUUGCAUAUGAUACUGUUAGUCUAGAGUAGAGUAGAGGGCAGUGGAAUUUCCGGUGUAGCGGUGAAAUGCGUAGAUAUCGGAAGGAACACCAGUGGCGAAGGCGGCUGCCUGGACUCUAACUGACGCUGAGGCGCGAAAGCGUGGGGAGCAAAGAGGAUUAGAUACCCCCGUAGUCC
rnacentral:rRNA from 1 species